CAACCUCCAAGUGGUGAGACCCGGGCAAUCGAUAUUACUUGGGAUGUUCUUUAUUUAUUUAUUUGUUUAUUAACAACGCAAGUACUGUCGAGCUGAUGGCUGCAUUUAAAUUCAGUCAAAAUUUAAAUGUUUUAUCAUAGAAUUUUUAUCUUUCGGAUUGUUUUUUAAUUAAAUAAACAAUAUAUUGAUGAUCAAUAGAUAAAUCCUAAUAUAAUAAAAAUAAUGAAUAUAUUUAUAAAGGAUGUAUUAAUAUAAAUAAAAAAAAAAAAAAAAAAAAAGAAACAUUUUAGAUAUAUAAGGAUUUUAAAGAAACUUGUGAAGAAGAUAGAAGAGGACGAAAGAGGACAUCCUGUUUUCAAAAGAAAGGAUAAAAAAACGUUUAAGGAGUUUCAAGCGAGGAACGACACGAGCUUUAGACAAUUAGUCCAUAAUUAACUCGGAGACAGACAGUUGGGGUUACGCUUGGAGCAUAAAACGCUAUCAACCCUUCGGGUACAACAACCAAGGUUUAUGGGAGUAUGCAUAGAAGCAAAAAUAACCAGACACCAGAUCACCCCUUUUACAAAUGCAGACGCACGUUCUAUUCGAAUCUUUGUCUCUAUCUACUGAAAUGAAUUAUUUUAAUCGUCUUUUUAUUAUCAUUCACAUCAUUGGAUAACUUAGAAACAUUAAUGCUUGUAAAUUCAUUCGUCGUAUUUUUAUCUUUCUCUCGUUCGAUGUUGUUAACAGAUAGAAAGGACAUUUUCUAUCCCAGAGAGACACGUGUUUCAGCACGAGUUUACGAUCAGAACGAUUUAUUAGCUCGUCUAAUAGCUUGGUAAAUCUUGUAUAUGUACGACAUGAGCCAGGUGUUAAAUUCAAAUUGAUUGUAAAAUUAUGAACGCGUGUCGUGUUCAGGACGAUGAAUUUCGAAAAGGAUCAUGUUGAUUCUUAGAAGAAAGAAGUGUAUCCAAGAUUCUGAUUCAUCGUAGAAAUACCAAGAAGCUUACACACACGAUUGUCUGCUCACUAUGUCUCCUCAGAAUCGAAAGAACAAAGAUCAGAACGUACGAUACUUUUGUCUCGUGCGCGGCUAAUGAAAGGGAAAAAAUUCAUGUGACUGAUGAUGAAGAAAGCACAAGAAGAGUCCGUCUGUCAAAACGAAGUCUGUGCCUUGUCAAGGGACGUCUUUAAGGUGAACAUGGAACCGAAAAGGAAAGGAACGAAGGAAAGAACUUUUUUUUUUCUUUAAGUAAUCGUCAUCAUUAGAAGUGUUCGUAGAAAUUAUAACAAUUUUUUGAUUACCAUAUAAUUACGAACUGGAAAUUUAUCGCGAAUGAUGACUGAAUCACCAGGUCCAUUCAUACGUAAACUCGUUUGAUUCAGAAAGUAAUCUUUCAUCACCACCAUCUAUAUAUAUCAUCAUCAUCUUUAUCAUCAUCAUCAUCAUCGUCAUCGUCGUCGUCGUCGUCGUCGUCUUCGUCGUCGUCGUCUUCGUCGUUGAUGAGAACCGAAACACAUUCGAAAUGGAUUUCUGCUUCUUCUUCCGUUCUUACUUUCUCGACACUUUCCCGAACACUUGGAACAAUGGAGCCACGAAAGCCUGGGAAGUCUAAUUGUUGCUGAACGAAACGAACGAAGACACAAUUCGCACGCUCGCUUGGAAAUUUUCUGCGACUGGUCGAAACGGUGAAAAAUAAAAUGGACGUCAUCUUGGUUCGCCGCUGUUAUGUCUCAUUUAACCCGUCCUCUUAACUUCACUUGACCAAGUGUCAAUAAGUCGCGAGGCUACAACGAGACCAAAAAAUUCAUCCUCCACGGAGAGAAAAGCUCGACCGAGUUUCUUCUUCGUCAUCUUAUUCGGUGAUCGAGAUUUCCGUAUCGUCGUCAUACUUUAACGUGAUGAUUCAUGGUUGAAAGAGUACCACCAUUGUGUAUUGUUAAAGUUGAAUUCUGAUCGAGAUGAUCGAAGGAGAAGAACUACUACUGACUCGAUCGUGAAUGAAGGGAUUGCUUUGAUCAAUUCCUUGACAAUUAUUUGAUUCCAUCGAACUCGUAGACCGGAUCGCUCGAGAAUCGAUGUCUUUGUACUCUCUUCUGGGAUCGGAAGUGGCAUCACCAAGGAAACGUGGCGUCUAACUUUAUUCUCUUUUUUUUCUUCUCGUAUUUGACCGCACGAGAGAGAGUCGGGAGGGAUGGGAGGGACGGACAACGAGGGACAGGGAGGGCUAGGGAGGUUUGGCCCUCGAGCAUUGUACAGUCAGGAUCUCUCAAGGGUACUUGCACGAAACGUUUCCAGCUUCUGGAUAUGUUUAUUCUCAAGGACGUUAAAUGUGCGAGAUUCUCAGAAUGCAAUUUGUCGUCUUACUCAGUGACACCAUUGCCAUCUCUACCGCGAACUUUUGCGGUGACAUAAGCCGAUUUGGCGUCUGACUAUUAAACGUCACGAUGUGUCCUACGUACUUAUGUACGUGUAUGUAUAUACAUACAUACACGUAUAUAUAUACAUACACAUUGCGAAUGCAUUAGCACGUGCUCGCAAUGUGAACAUCGUAAUCUCAUACAGAGAGCCGAUGGAUCGAGGAAAGCAUCAUCUAAAUAUAAUCAUUACUUCUAAGAAUCUCUUGUACUUAUCUUGAAUGAGAAUUCAUAAAUUCCAAUGAUAAAAACGAGAAGGAACAGACGUAUAUGGAUUUUUUUUCAAGUAAAAGGAAAAAGAAAGAAUAGAAAAGAAAAGAAAAGAAAAAGGAAAAGAAAAAGAAAACAGAAAAGAAAUAAAGCGACAAGGAUUUGAAUUUGGUUCAUUCGAGAUAGAUCAAGGAUAAAUGGAGAUAAAGAAAGAAAAUUUAUUGAUUCAUCCGGGAUCAACCGGUUAGUGUGAAUUCCCCGUACCAAUACUCUUUCAACAGCACUUUCCCGUAUUGCAACGGACGGGGACCACGUGCUGGUCUUUUGCUUUCACCUCGUGCUACACACGACCAAUCCCCCAACGACAUUCAUGCUUGAGGAAUUCAAGUAAUCUCUACGAAUCGACCUGAAGUUUGAUCAAUCGGUCAAACUUCCGAUUCAUUUUUAAUUGAUUCACUUUUAAAAGUAUCUACAUGAUUAUUACGAAACUUGUUGUUGUACGCGAUUAGAAAUCGACGAUUAUAUGGCAUUAUACAUAGAUGGCAUUUGAAUCUAUUCAACGCGUUUAAACUGAUGCAUUUAAACUCCUUCUAAAUUAAAAUCCAAGAUGCAUUCAAGAGCCAAUCAUUCGACUUAGCCUCGAGCACAAUUUCAAGCUCGAUGAUGAAUUAAACGCACGUCAUUAAGCUCGAUCUCUCGCGAAGUUCAUCCGAGCAAAACCUCCGACUAUUAUAUCUCUUUGAACGUACUUGGAAGGUAAACGAGAGGAAUCGUCGAGCGUUACGUAAUAAAUGAUUACGCGGCCGUUAGUUAAGCAACGAAUUCCGGUUUGCAGUUACUUCUCAAAUCAAGGAUGUAACAUCGUUUUAUUCUUCUUGCUGGCCGGCCUGUCUGUGCAUGUGUGUGUGUGUGUGUGUGUAAGUGAGUGUAUGGUAUCGACCAUUUCAAUCGGUUGGAAUUAUCACCAACUGACCUUGGCCAAGAAACGUUCCUCGUGGCAGAAUGUUACGAGACAAGUUCGAACGAGGGCUCUUCUCUCUAGGUUUCGUGGAAAAACGGGUAAACGGCAUAGAUAAGGGAGAACAGAGAUAACGGCGAGACAGUGAGGAUGCAGAUAAACCGGGAAGAAGACCACUUUACGAUUUUAUUUAUUUCAAAUGGCGUUGCGACCGAACGGGGUUCUUUAUCGCGACGGAAGCCAAAGCCCCAAGCUAAUUCUUAGUACUAAUUGGACGUAACGAGACGACAUCGUAGAAAGAUCCUUCGUGUCUUUGGGAAUCGACCUUCACACGGAGUCAUCGAUGCGAAAAUUUUUAAUCGCGUAUCCAUUGAAAGCUUAAACGAGCCCCUGCGGUCGUCGUUCCGAGCUCCCGGCUCUCUGAGAAAGGAAAGCGAACGAAUGAACGAAUGAACGAACGAACGAACGAACGAACGAACGAACGAACGAACGAACGAGUGAGAGAGCUAGUUGAUCUUCUCUCUUUGUCAGGAGAGACCUAUUGUCUCUCCCAGGAUGGAUGGGAACCGCGGCACCUCCGGCACGGAUGGUGGAUAUAGUCUCGGAGAUUAUUUCUUCGAAGAGUCUUGCUUCCGUUUGAAUUCUUGACAAGCGCUUAGAAUCAUUCUCUCUUUGGAAGGGAUAAAAGCAACCAACAACAGCCAGACCGGCAUAUAUCUCAUAUGCAUAUGCAUCGAACACCAAUAUCUAUCUAUACCAUGAACGCGUGCUUCUAUGUAACAAGAGACAUCCAUGUAUAUAUAUAUAUAUAUAUAUAUAUAUAUAUAUAUAUUUAUAUAUAUGUAUGUAUGUGUCUAAGUACCAAUAUAGAAGGAUGGAAAUCUUUGUGUUUGUGUGGUAUGGUGGGUGUUCAGAACCGUACGAUGCGAACUUGUUGUUUAUUCCUCGUAUCGACAUGGCACCUACACGAGAACUCGAUGUCACUCUCGAUGCACACUUGGAACGACACAACGUGCAUUGGUCACUGCACUUCCGUCCUCGAGAAACAUGCUCGCUCGCUCUGUUCACGAAAAGAUACAAAAAGAAUAGAAGAAGGGAAUUCCUUUAUAUUGUAGAUCAUUGCGGUCAGCGAUCUCACAGAUCUAGGCCAUUAUAGAAUACAAUAAUAAUGUUGUAGA